GGUGAGCUUCCUUUAUCUGUGCGAGUAGAUGAUCCAGAGCCUCCUUCUGGCCUCUUUGACGUGGGGCGCGCCCAUCGAUGUCCCUCCAACCUGGUGGAGAAAAGACAAACGGAUCAGAACUCGCCCAACCUUUAGAUCUUCCUGUUUGUACGUGUCACAGCGAAAUGACAAACGACCCAGAAUUCAUGACUCAUUCACAAAAGCAAAUGUCUCCUGCCAGCAUCCCUCAGAGUGUACCGCUCACAAUACCAAAACAGACACAGCAGCAUGGGGUCAAGACCAAAGACGCAAGCUGAGAUGAGGAUCAAGCUGUGGAGAGUCAGGAUUUCCAAGCUGUCAGGAAAACUGAGUAAAUCCUAUCCCCCAGGCCACUGGCACCGCUCAGGAAUGUGGUUCUUCCACUUUAAUUGUGCUUAACUUCCUAUCCCCAACUUGCAAAAUUAAAUUUCCCUUUUCUAACGUGUG